UUUGAGUACUUGCCAGAAUUCUUUAGUAAUGAAGAGACUUUGUCCUUGUGCUUGUCGUCUACAUGUCGUCUGUGUUUACAUUUAAGUUUGAUGUGCUCUCCUUUUUUCACGGGGAAUGUACUUGAUUUGGGCACCAGUCAUUUGUAUUGUAUCCUCAACCAGCAUGUUCAAGGAAAGAACUGGUGUUAUUCUAUAUUUUUCCCAACAGAAACCAUGGAAGGACCGAAACCAACGAUGCAUUUCUUGACCUUUGGGAAUACUAUGUAUAACUAAAUACUCUAAGCUCAAAGGUCCUCUUAAAAAGCUUUUUGGAGCUUUCACUCACAUCUCUCGGUCUUCUUCAUUGAAUGGAGCCGGCACAGGUGUCAUCACAGCUCUUAGCACUAAGCCAGUUGUAGCGCAGGGUUGUAUAAAAGUGGAUGGUGCCACACCGCACAUAGAACCCAAAUGCUUCUACACUUCUCAGAUGGGUUUGUGUCGGGAUAAUUCGUUAAGCAUAGUUAUAGUGCGUUCCAUUUGUAGUCGGAAGUCGGAAACGCGCCCCUUGACCUCGGAUUUCCGAGCUCGGACCUCGGACAACCACCGAGUACCCCAAGCUCAAAAUCCAACAUGGCUGCCCCGUGCGUCAACAGCAGUGAAAGCUGUAAUAACAGUUAUUAGCACUUCUUUGUUAUUUGUGUCUUACUAAAUCAGUCGUACACACAGUCCUGUCCAACUUCUAUCUGUGGACAUGUUGCUACGCUGUUUGUAUGCACAAAACAGCGUAAUGCGUUUUUAUCAACUAGUAUUGCUAGCAAUGGCUAACCUGGCUAGAGCUAAUGUAAACAAUGAUAAUCUGACUUGUAAAUGGAACGCAGUCAACGCGGGUGUGACAUCAUUCCCAGCUUCGGCUUCUGAGUUCCUAGGUAAAUGGAACGCACUGUUAGCUAGUUUUCUCCAUUUUGCGCUAGCGACAUGAGCACACGAGAACAUUAGCUUAGUUUACAGUUAGGGCAACACUAAGAAUAUAUCAUCAGCAAUGGAUCACUACAGAUUAAAUAUUAGACUUUUCUUCCCAUGUCCCACAAAUUUUGAAUAAAAAGUGACCGACCUGUCAGCCAAUAGGCUCAAAUGUUGUCCGGAGGACUUGCUAUUUGUCAGUGGUGCAGUUUGAGUGUCAUAAUUCACCAAAGUGGAAUGGGAAUCCUGCAAGCAGAUCCACUGGUUGCAGUGAUUCCCUUGAAAUGAAUUGAAUUUCUUGGAUGCAUGUCUUUUCAUGAUUAUAUAAGAAAAAUGUAGAAUAUCAGCAGCCUUCUCCUCUAAAGCCUCUUUGUGUACUUUAACUGUAACUUCAUUAACUGGACACACUACAGCCUGUAUAACCAAUACUGUGAAAUCAUGUCCAUUGUCUUUGUGGCCUGUUUGUUUUUUUUAAACCCAAUGAUGCCUCGAAACAGCAAGAAAAUAGGAACCUGCAUUUUCAUGGUUGCUGAAGUGUUACAUCUCACCCUUUGGUCAUCCGACUGCUAUUUACUGAGUAGCAUUAAGAUCAGUUUAAGAUCAUUUAAAGUCCAGAAGAGCUUGACAUGGCAUUUGGGGCUGGGAAGAAUGUGUGGAUGUUCCUGAUUGUGGGAGAAGUUGGGUGUUAUUCUACUAUACAUGCUUUAGACUCGUGUCUUCAUUUUUAUUCUCUAUGCAGUCAAGACAAGUGUGGAAAUGUGUUUUUUGACCUUAUUGACCCUGAUAAAAGUGUCUGGCUUCGACAGAAAAAACAAAAGAGCAGGCAUAAUGCUGACUGCACAGCGUAUUUAUAUAUAAAUAUGUGUAUGAUUGAUGCUAGCUUUGAAAAUAGUUCAUGUUUAUUUUCAUUAUUGAACAAAUUGACCACUUGUUAUACAUUUUGCAUUACAGUUUAAUAUAUUGUAAAUAAAUGAUGGUGAUUGUUUAA